rnacentral:rRNA from 1 species
UACGUAGGGAGCUAGCGUUGUUCGGAAUCACUGGGCGUAAAGGGAGCGUAGGUGGGAGGAUAAGUUAGGAGUUAAAUGUACGGGCUUAACCCGUAACUUGCUUUUAAUACUGUCCUUCUUGAGUAUGGGAGAGGAUGAUGGAAUUCCAGGUGUAGCGGUGGAAUGCGUAGAUAUCUGGAAGAACACCAGUUGCGAAGGCGGUCAUCUGGCCCAAUACUGACACUGAGGCUCGAAAGCUAGGGGAG